GACAGAGGGUGCAAACGUUGUUCGGAAUUACUGGGCGUAAAGAGCGUGUAGGCGGCCAUGUAGGUCCGGUGUGAAAACUCGAGGCUUAACCUCGAGAUGUCAUCGGAAACCAUUUGGCUAGAGUCCGGAAGAGGAGAGUGGAAUUCCUGGUGUAGCGGUGAAAUGCGCAGAUAUCAGGAAGAACACCAAUGGCGAAAGCAGCUCUCUGGGACGGUACUGACGCUGAGACGCGAAAGCGUGGGGAGCGAACAGG
rnacentral:rRNA from 1 species